rnacentral:rRNA from 1 species
AUUGAACGCUGGCGGCAGGCUUAACACAUGCAAGUCGAACGAUGAUUAUCUAGCUUGCUAGAUAUGAUUAGUGGCGGACGGGUGAGUAACAUUUAGGAAUCUGCCUAGUAGUGGGGGAUAGCUCGGGGAAACUCGAAUUAAUACCGCAUACGACCUACGGGUGAAAGGGGGCGCAAGCUCUUGCUAUUAGAUGAGCCUAAAUCAGAUUAGCUAGUUGGUGGGGUAAAGGCCCACCAAGGCGACGAUCUGUAACUGGUCUGAGAGGAUGAUCAGUCACACCGGAACUGAGACACGGUCCGGACUCCUACGGGAGGCAGCAGUGGGGAAUAUUGGACAAUGGGGGCAACCCUGAUCCAGCCAUGCCGCGUGUGUGAAGAAGGCCUUUUGGUUGUAAAGCACUUUAAGCAGGGAGGAGAGGCUAAUGGUUAAUACCCAUUAGAUUAGACGUUACCUGCAGAAUAAGCACCGGCUAACUCUGUGCCAGCAGCCGCGGUAAUACAGAGGGUGCGAGCGUUAAUCGGAAUUACUGGGCGUAAAGCGAGUGUAGGUGGCUCAUUAAGUCACAUGUGAAAUCCCCGGGGCUUAACCUGGGAACUGCAUGUGAUACUGGUGGUGCUAGAAUAUGUGAGAGGGAAGUAGAAUUCCAGGUGUAGCGGUGAAAUGCGUAGAGAUCUGGAGGAAUACCGAUGGCGAAGGCAGCUUCCUGGCAUAAUAUUGACACUGAGAUUCGAAAGCGUGGGUAGCAAACAGGAUUAGAUACCCUGGUAGUCCACGCCGUAAACGAUGUCUACUAGCCGUGGGGGUCCUUGAGACUUUAGUGGCGCAGUUAACGCGAUAAGUAGACCGCCUGGGGAGUACGGCCGCAAGGUUAAAACUCAAAUGAAUUGACGGGGGCCCGCACAAGCGGUGGAGCAUGUGGUUUAAUUCGAUGCAACGCGAAGAACCUUACCUGGUCUUGACAUAGUGAGAAUCCUGCAGAGAUGCGGGAGUGCCUUCGGGAAUUCACAUACAGGUGCUGCAUGGCUGUCGUCAGCUCGUGUCGUGAGAUGUUGGGUUAAGUCCCGCAACGAGCGCAACCCUUUUCCUUAUUUGCCAGCGGGCUAAGCCGGGAACUUUAAGGAUACUGCCAGUGACAAACUGGAGGAAGGCGGGGACGACGUCAAGUCAUCAUGGCCCUUACGACCAGGGCUACACACGUGCUACAAUGGUAGGUACAGAGGGUUGCUACACAGCGAUGUGAUGCUAAUCUCAAAAAGCCUAUCGUAGUCCGGAUUGGAGUCUGCAACUCGACUCCAUGAAGUCGGAAUCGCUAGUAAUCGCAGAUCAGAAUGCUGCGGUGAAUACGUUCCCGGGCCU